GGGGAAUUUUCCGCAAUGGGCGCAAGCCUGACGGAGCAAUGCCGCGUGAGGGAGGAAGGCCUUUGGGUUGUAAACCUCUUUUCUCAGGGAAGAAGAACUGACGGUACUUGAGGAAUCAGCCUCGGCUAACUCCGUGCCAGCAGCCGCGGUAAUACGGAGGAGGCAAGCGUUAUCCGGAAUUAUUGGGCGUAAAGGGUUCGUAGGUGGCGACUCAAGUCUGCUGUCAAAGACCGGAGCUUAACUCUGGAACGGCGGUGGAAACUGAGGCGCUAGAGUCCGGUAAGGGUAGAGGGAAUUCCCAGUGUAGCGGUGAAAUGCGUAGAGAUUGGGAAGAACACCAGUGGCGAAAGCGCUCUACUGGGCCGGAACUGACACUGAGGGACGAAAGCUAGGGGAGCGAAAGGGAUUAGAUACCCCUGUAGUC
rnacentral:rRNA from 1 species